rnacentral:rRNA from 1 species
AACGAACGCUGGCGGCAGGCCUAACACAUGCAAGUCGAGCGAGGACUUCGGUCCUAGCGGCGGACGGGUGAGUAACGCGUGGGAACGUGCCCUUUGCUACGGAAUAGCCCCGGGAAACUGGGAGUAAUUCCGUAUGUGCCCGAGAGGGGAAAGAUUUAUCGGCAAAGGAUCGGCCCGCGUUGGAUUAGGUAGUUGGUGGGGUAAUGGCCUACCAAGCCGACGAUCAAUAGCUGGUUUGAGAGGAUGAUCAGCCACACUGGGACUGAGACACGGCCCAGACUCCUACGGGAGGCAGCAGUGGGGAAUCUUAGACAAUGGGCGCAAGCCUGAUCUAGCCAUGCCGCGUGAGCGAUGAAGGCCUUAGGGUUGUAAAGCUCUUUCAGUGGGGAAGAUAAUGACGGUACCCACAGAAGAAGCCCCGGCUAACUCCGUGCCAGCAGCCGCCGUAACAC